UGAGAGGAAUCUGAAGCCCGCGGCGGCGCUCAAUGUUUACAAGAGUUCUUCUUAAUUUGUCUCUCCUUUGGUUACAGAAUUACAGUUUCUAAUUUGGUACUAAUAGAUCAAGAACUAUAUGAAUUUAACAGUUUAUAAGUCUCUCUUUCUUCACAAAUCAUGAAAUAGUACUGUGGUAAUGUUUACAAGUCCAAUCUGAUUGCUGCAGGUCACUUGCUAGAAAUGUUUCAGAGAUUACUGACAGAGUUCUUCAAACCUUUUCGAAACAGAGCUUCGGACUAUGCCUCACUCACAGAAACAUACUUAUAAUGUAAGAAUUGGGUACUAUCCUUUUUUCACAGAUCAACAAAUAGUUGUACACACACACACACCAAUGUGAUCACUAAACUAACCACAAAUGUUUCACAGGCAGAACCUCAGACAGUAGUAGUCUGCAAGCUAUGCAUCACUAACUUAUUCAGCUACAGAAACAAAUAAUAGCACUUCAGACAAAUGUAACAAACACCACAUGGAAAAGAAUAAACACAGGGCUGAGAUUGCCUCAUUUGUGUACCGCUUUCUUGAUCGCCUGCUUGCAUUUGCUGAGGAACUUGCUGCUGCUCGUAGAAACCAAAUCCUCAUAGCCGUAUCUACGAUCAUCGUCGCCACCCACCUUAGGUUUCCUGCCUGCACAGUCUGAGCCUCUUCUCAUUCCCAGGAUCUUGGAAGGAGAGGAUGGGAGGGACCGGAAACCCCUACCGCUGUCCGACCUCGGGAACCAGAUCUUCCUUUCCACUUUCUCCUCCUUGAUGUCAAAGCUAUCCCUGCAUCUUGGGGUGCCAUGGUGAGUAGCAGCAUCCUCACCACCAACGUCGACGAUCGCGUCAACACAUUCAGUGAUCUCAUCAACACAUUCAGUGAUCUCAUUCCUGCAGCUCUCGUCUUCGUCACCGAUUCUACUUUGGAUUUCCUGCUCAUCAUCCGAACCGUUCUCCUCGGCGGCAUUGUGAUCUUCCGAGGAACGGUAUGCCACUUCAUUUCCUUCUUCUUGUUGGUCCUCCAUGAGCAUAUGAAGCCACUUAUCAACAUGUCCCUUGCCUCUGUAGUUCAUGUUUUCAUUGUCUUCUGCUCUGGCAACACGUCGAGGAUGAAGCAUUUCAUCAUCCUUUUGCACUGGUAGUGACUGCUCUGUGUGGUACCUCGGCGUCCCGUACACGCCGGUUGCUCUAUAUGGAGGACUUGGUGGAACCGAGGGGGUCCUUGGAAAUGAGACUGUCUGGCUUGCAUGAUGAGAUCUUUCGGUCUCGGACUCAAGCAUGGCUGCCUUGCCCUUACCAUCUCUUGACUUGAUAGGUGUACCAACACCCCUUGAGACCAUGCUCUCCUUUCUUUCCCUUCCCCUGCUAUGACGCCGCUCUCUGAUCGCCGAUUGUUCUAGUUUUUCCCUUACUGACGCUCUUCCUCUUUCAGUGUAACUCAUGUUUUCAUCGGUGGAGAUGGACCUUCUUGGGAAGCUUAUGACCUUGGAAGGUUGUUCAGUGUUGACAUAACUCAUUGUUGAAGUCCCUUCUCCAAUCUCUCCCCCCUCCAGGGAAAUGUUGUAUGCAUCUGAAGUCCUCUGAGCCUCCUCCAAGAAAACCCUCAGUUCCUGUUUCAGAGGGCUGCUCCUCGAUACUCUUUCUGGCAAGUACCUGAAACUCUCACAGUGCCUUUCCUCUGGGAUUUCAUCGUCGACCCGGUACCUCUUCCUUGCUUGAUCAAUGAAUGGCUUCACCUGCCUCUCCAGAUCAUCUCUGUGCUGGUACUUCUUGCGGAGCUCGGUUUCAGAUGAGUCACACAUUGCUCUCUGGGCCUCCAGUCUCGCCAUCAGAGUACUGGUUGCAGUCUGGUUCAGCCUGAGCUGUUCCUUGUACACAACACUCCUGCAUUUUGCACCACAAUGAAAAAUUAGCACCAGUUAAUCAAGAUUCUGCAAAGAAACUAGUAGCUCUUGGUUUUAUAGGAUCAUUCUUACUGGUGCAUGGCGUCUCUGAUCAUCUUCUCGAGCACUGUCUUGUAGUUGGCCUGGGCGUCUGCCAAGCGACGGCACUUCUCUACCCGCCGACGCCUCUUGAUCAGUUGGGCCUCCAGGUCCUGGAUGGCUACCCUCUCCUCCUCAUUCUUCUGCUGCAUCUCCGCCGCCUCCUUCUCCAGUUCAGUGAGCUCAGCUUGCUUCUUCUUCGCCUCUUCCCUCUGCCUCAGCGAGUCCCUAGCCAUGGCUAUGGACAAGUAAGGAUUGCUGAUGUAGCCGUCGACAUCUGGGUUGUUGUUCUCUUUCAUCAUCGAGUUACCACCAUGGCCGUGGGCUGCCGCCAUGUUCUCGUCCUUUUCGCCGGAGAACUUCUUUGCAGCUACAGGAAAAGCAGUCCCAGCAUCAUCCAUAGCUCAUAUGAAGAUGUUGCAAAAACGAGGAAAUUAAUUCAAUAAGUAAGUUCUCUGACAAGCGCAUACCGAUCAAAGGGUAAUUGGACCUCACUGGUCUGUUGGCGUCAAUGGAUUUGAGCACCGAGUUGUCGGAGCCCCUGGCGGAGACAAUGGCGGCAGGCGCGAGGCCUAGUUUCUUCUUCAUGUCGGCGAAAUGGUGCGGGAACGCGUGCGCCUCCACCGCCUGCAGCGAGCUCAGCUCCUCGUUGGCCCCAUCGGCGAAGAGGAACGCGAAUGCUCUGUUCCUGAAGUCGGUGUUCUUGGAGGCGAAGAUGGAGAGGAACUGGUUGACGGAAAUUCCGAGCUGCAGAUCCCACCACGGGACGAGGAACUCGAGCUUGUUGUGCUUCUUCCUGGACGCCUGCAGCUGCAUGAUCCGCAGGUUGCUCGGAACCGUCCUCCCUCCCCCUGCAGAUCGACGAAGACCAAGCAUCCAUCCACCGUUCGUCAGAACUUAGAACCAUGUGGUAAAUUCAGAACAUGUAAAAUUCUUCUUACUGGCGCAGGGGAACCAGUGGUGGACGUCCCAGGCGAGGGGCGAGGCGGCGUCGGCGUGGAGGUAGAGGACGUUCCCGUAUGCGUCGACGCGGAAGAGCGCCGGGUCGAAGCCGGCGUUGCCGAGGUGGUGGAGCUGCUUCCAGAGCAGGUUGGCGAAGCCGCGCGGGUUGGCGGUGGGCGCCGCCUCCGCGUCCACCACCGGGAACGUCUCGUUCAGGUCCUUGGCCCGCAGCGCCUGCACGCAGCAGAUCAGAUCAUGACACACGACGCGGCGUGGAAGCGGGGAGGAGAGAAGGGCGAGCGGGAUCUGCGGGAGAGAAGGCAGGCAGGUACGUACCUCGUGGGGCUGGAGGACGUAGGGGAGGAAGGCGCCGGGCGGGCCGUGGGCGUAGGGCAGGCCGAGCGCGCCGCCGCCGCUGCCGGCGGCGCGGCAGAGCCUGGCGUAGGCCUUGGGGUAGCCCAGCGCGUCGUCCACCGCCCUCUCCUCCUCCGUGAACGCCGCCAUCGAUCCGCGAACGCCGCCGGCGAACCUAGUACUAAUACAGUCUACGGAGCAAUGUUGACUGAUGUGUCGGGAAUCGGGAUCAGGUGCCUGAUCGGUGAUGACUGAGGUGAGUGGGGAGGGGGAGGAGAGAGCCGUUGGGUUGGAGCUGGUUCAAACUCGGCACGUGAGGGCCACGUGGGGGCCGGGCGAGUAAGGCUGGCUUGUGGGCCGGCGGUGGACGGCAGGACGCCAUUUCUUCGUCCUGUGCUCGCUGUAGGCACAACUGGCGUACCACGUACCGUGGUAGUAGUAAGUACAUGUACGUGGUACAGCGCGAGAUUGUAUACAUGUAUUAUUUCUCCUUAUUUAUGGCGACGAUUAAUUGCGGAUUGAUGUGGGGAAAUGCUUUGAUGAGUUGGCAUUGAUUGAUUCAUCCGUGCGUGUCAGAAGGACACAAGAUGCAGAGUGGGGGCCGCGGAGUUUUAUUUAGGACGGCACGGCAGCCCGUCCACACACACAGAUGGAUUUAAAAUCCAUGGUUUUGUUUCUUUCGGCCGGUUUGAAAUGAAGAAAGUUUAAAAUAAACCUUGAACUUAUAGAGGAAAGCUAAAUCAAACCCUGAACUUGUAAUCCCGAAUAUUAGCACACCAAAUUCUCCGCUCCCGGUCUAUUUUCUUGAGGGUGUUUAGCUGCUAUACUCGCUGAUGUGGCAAGGAUACAUGACUGACUUGUUUUUUUUUUUUGAGAAAAAGCUACUUGACUGACUGGAUACUAGGAUAAAUCGGUCCAGCCCAUCAACGCAGUUGCUUGGGCACUCGCUCUGUUCUGUUUUUCAUUUUUCGUUUUCUGCGAACCCACUUGUCUUGUAUCAGGAGCGAUAAAAAAUACUAGCAGUACGUAAUGUGCCUGACAGGAUUCAAACUAGUAACCUCGGGAGUGGUGGCCGCACCUAGCCAACGCAACUGAAGGAUGCAAUUGAUCCGAUAUUUUUUAUCGUAUUUCAUAUAUGAAUUGUUUUCGGAAAAAUUAUGAAACAUUUUCUUGGAAAAACUGUGAACAGUUUGAAAUACAGAAUAUUUUUAAAAGAAAAUAAUUUACGAAAUUCCAAAAACUUUUUUGAACAAUGUGACACAACAACAUUGUGCAAACUACACGUUUAACAUAUACUUAAUGACAAUAACAUUUUUUUACAUUGUAUAAACAUUUUUAAAAAAUUGUUCAGGUUUCGGAAUUCGUACCUGUUUUUAGUUUAAAAUAUUUAUGUCCAAAAUAGUGUUCACUUUUUAAAAAUUGAUUGUGUUUUAAUACAAUCAAUUUUUUGAAAAAUUAUUCAGAAUUUUUAAACAAUGUUCGCAGUACAAAAAAUUGUUCAGGCCAGCAUGUCUUAAAUACUUUCUGCUACAGUAGCUCCUAGUUUUUCAACAAAUGUUUGCUAUGGUUCCUCCUAGUUUUUUUUUCAUCUUUCAGAUAAUGUUCACAUUUUGAAAUGUUCAAACUUUCAAAAACAGUUCAAGAUUGGAAAAAUCUUAUAGUUUAAUUUUUUUUUCUCAUGACGUCCAAAAUACUUGCGCUAUAUUUUAAAAAAAUUCUGAACAAUUGUCGAAAACACUAUUUUUCAAUUUGUGAUAGAAAAUCGAAAAUAGGAACAUUUUUAAAUUACUGUACAUAUUUUGAAAUGCAUGUAUUUUUUUAUGAUCGAAAGGACGAACAUUUUAGAAAAAUACACAAUUUUAAAACACGAACAUUUUUUCAUCUCUGCAAAACGCAAGUAGUGAGCCGGCCCAAAUACUCGUCAGGGAGAGUAGUACCUUAUCGGCCGUGAUUGUUAUAUUCCCGGUGCCCCAAAUAGGUCUAGGGUCCAAAAUAGAUCGGGAUUGAUAAGUUCAGAAUGCUAAUUUUCGGGAUUUAUAGUUCAGGGUUCGAUUUAUCUUUCAUCUACUAAUUCAAGGUUCAUUUUGGACUUUUUCCGCUUGAAAUCCGUCCGUGGUGAGCACGAGCCCAAGACGACGCCACCAACUCGCGCGCACGCAAGCCUAUCUAUCGUCCGUGCGAAAUGACAAGCGACGACAACCGCGAUGGCCCAAACGAAUGGCCGAGGGGGCUGAAAUUCUUUUUCUAGAGCCAAGGAGGCUGAAGUUGCGUGGAUCGUGGCGGCACCACGCUCUCCGUGUGAAAUGUUUUAAACCCGUUUUCUGAAUAUUCUUUUAAUUUUUUGAACCCCUUUUGAACAAUUUUUAUAAACACAGACAAAAUUUUUGAACCUGAACAAUUUCUGAAAGUCCAAAUUUUUUUAAAACAUAUUUAACAUGUUUUGCAAUUUUUGAUUUUCUUAGAAAAGGAAAAGAUAAAAACAAAAGCACGGUAAGAAAAACUAAACAAAACAGAUUCAGGAAACAUCUGGAAAGAUUCAAAAACGGGUAAAAACAGACAAAAAACACUUAAGAAGGCUCGCAAACCAAGGACGACGUAACCUAUAUAGGCCGGCCAACCUCGCAAUUCCCUUGUGUGAAACCUUGACUAUGAUUGUCCUUAUUUUUGUUGCCAUCAUUUGUCGCAGCGAGCAGGGCACCGGACGGGCGACGUGCCGUCUGGGCACUUAUAUGGAGGUGCCCCGCUCCACCAAAGCUGUGUAUAUUUGCGUGGAAGUUCGUAUCAAACUCGUUGGCCACUUGGGCUAAUAAUAAUACCCGAACGCUGGAGCCUACUGACGUGUGUCCGCUCUGUGUGAUGGAACUAGAUGAUACACUUCAUGUAUUCUAUAGGUGCCCUCGAGCGGUGAAUCUUUAGGCUUUAGCGUGCUAUGGCGAAACAAUGGAACUUGCCGAACAUAGCCGAAAUUCAGAAUACUGAUGUUGAAUGGCUCUUCGACGUGUUGCAUGAUCAAGGCGACAUUCACUGCAUGCGAUUACUGAUGGUCCUAUGGCGCUCAUGGCAUGUACGUAAUGAAAUAGUCCAUGAUAAGAAGCCUCUCCCUGUCGAAGCAACAUGCAGAUUUUUGCUCAGCUAUGACGCACCUUUGCUUGCUAUCAAGCAGUACCCAUCAGAUGAUCUUGUGAAAGGUAAAAUGGUGUUAGAUGUUAACGCAAGCCGGCCAGGGCCAGUUUCACAUGUGGCGGCGACCUAGUCUGGCAACCCCCAGGCCAAGGUGGCAUGAAGCUUAAUGUUGACGAAUCGUACAUCACAACUAUUGGAGAGGCGGGCGCUGGAAUGGUGUUGUGAGAUAGCAUUGGUGAGAUCAUCUUUCGGCUUGCAGAGCCUAUAGAAUUCCGCAAGUCCCUAGCUGAAUUAGCAACCUACUUGAAAGGUCUGAAAGUUGUUAUGCAAUGGUCACCACUCCCAGUGGAUGUAGAGAUGGACAGUCAAGUUACCAUGGGCUCUAUCCAGGCACGAGGUGAGGACACAUUGCGGAAUGCGAUGUUGAUUCAGGAAAUGAGGACACUUCUCGAUGAAAGGGAUUGCUCUAUUACUCACAUUAGUCGGCACCAAAAUGUGGUCGAUCAUAUGUUAGCUUCUUUCGGUCGUGUAGAAGCUAGGAUAACAGUCUGGCUAAUCUGGCCCUGCUAAUGUACCACAACUUUGUCCGGAGCUCUCUGUCCAUUUUGAGCAAUAAAAUCACUUUUAAGCCCGCUAAAAAAAGACCAUGACCAUCCUUGCGCUAAAAAUAGAGAGACUAUGAUCGGCCAGUAGGAAAGUCGCUAUAUGUCCUCCUAUUGCUCCUGAUUCGCGGGAGCUAUAAUGUCUCGCAUAUUGCGACUCCGCCUCGCAUAGAUGGCCCAACCCAAUAUGGGUUCCUACGAAGCGGGUCGUAGGAAGCUUCUAGGCGUUCUUUUCUUCUAUAUAUUUUUGUGUGUUUCUCCAUCACUUUUCAUUUGUUUUCUCUUUUUUUCACAAGACAUAUCUCUUUUUAAGUACACAUUGUACAUUUUUUGUAUACACAUGGAACACUUUUUUAUACUUGUUGAAUAUUUUCUUAAUGGCACAAAAUAUUUUUCAAAAAUCACGUGAACAUUUUUGUACGUCAUAUAAACAUUUAUAAAACACAUGGAUUUUUUUAGAAAAUUUUGAUUUUAUAAUUAUCACGACUAAUUUUUCGAAUUACGCGAAAAUAUUCUUAGAUUGCACCAUUUUUUAAAAGAUUCCACAGACCAUUUUCUUGAAAUGCUUCAUUUUUUUAUGUCGCGUGAACAAUAAAUUUACUCUAUGUUAAUAUUUUUAAAAAUGUACUAUGAACACUUCUUAAUAGUUUUAAUUACUUUUUUUUUGAAGUAUAUAUAUUUUGAAUACUUUUUUGAAUAUAAACAAAAAAUAAAAAGACACAAACAGAAACCAAGCAAUGAACGAAAAAAGGAAUCAAAGCAAACUGGGUCGGCCCAAUUUAGUGGUGUCUUGAAGCGAGUGGCUGUUCGGUCUGGCACAAGGUGUGACAUAGCCGUGGCAAUUUCUAUUUGGCGCUGUAGGCGCCGGUUUCUACAGUUUUUCAAACCGGCGCCUGUAGCAGCUACUCACGCGUCUUAGUUAGGCCGGUCCAUAUUUCAUUUUUUCUUCUGUUUUCUAAACUAGAUUUAAACACGCAUCACACGAUAUCAGUGAUCGACGCGUAACCAACCCGACGACUUCACUAGGUGUGAUAACAUAUGUGUUUUACCUUCAUUUAUUCAUUCCUUUUUUCUCUGACCUUUUCUUCUUUCUUUUUUCAAAUUGGUAAUUCUUUUCUUCAACUACAUGAACUUUUUUUAAAACUCAUGAACUUUUUGCAAAUUGACAUUUUUUUUUCAAAAUCAAUGAAAUUAUUUUUAAAAUUUUGUGUUUUUCUCAAAAUCAAUGAUUAUUUUUUCAAAAUCGAUGAACUUUUUCAGAAUCGAUGAACUUUUUUAAAAACUUGAUGAUAUUUUUUAAAAAAUUUAUGAACUUUUUCUAAAUUGUUUUCAAAAUUGAUGAACUUUUUUUGGAAUCGAUGAUUUUUUUUUGAAAUUCGAUGAACUUAUUUCCAAAAUCGAUGGUCCUUUUUCAAACUUGUGAACUAUUUUCCAAAUCUAUGAUUUUUGUUUUGCAAAUAAAUGAACUAUUUUCAAAUCCAAGGUUUUUUGGUACAAAGUGAACGAGCAAGAGCUUUUUUUCUUCUGAGAAAUGUGAGCGAGCCAGUUGGUUGAUGCGAGUGAUGCCACAGACGCAACACUCAUCGCUAGCGCUCGAGGAAGGAAAAUAUAAUGGGCCUCAGCCCAGCCAGAUCUAUAGUGUGCGCCAGCCAUUGUUCAGGAAAUUUGUAACUUGUAGCUGCUCGGUCGGCUUGGGAGUAGUGAUUAAUUGGUGAAUCCGCCUAUUAAUUGGAUUAGUCAGUAGAUUAAAUAGGAAUUGCCAACAUAUAUCUACUUUUCUAUGUAUUAUACCUUAGUCUCAUGCUCUCAACUAUGUAAUAUACCAAAAUAUGCUACUGGUUGGUCGAACCCUAGCUAUUGAGGAUUGAGAGGGGAUGGGAGGUGUUACAGGGAAAUUUUUUGGUCUUCGUUUGCCCACAAGUUAAUGGGUCGGCAACGGUUAAUCGGCCUAACGGCCGAUUAGUUGGUCUAACGGGCCAAUUAAUCGGCUUGACAAGUUAAACUGAUGAAUAUGUGCUAUUCGAUUCGGUCACCAUACAAGUAGCGAUUAACUGGCCUGUUAACUGAUUAAUCGGAUGAAUUCUUGAACAGUGGCGCCAGCAGGAAAAAUCGACGCCUGCGUUUCACUGGGCUUCAUGAAAAUCCAUGUCGACACAAGCAUUGCAAGAAAUCGGAGCUGGGGAGCGGCCUCGGCCAUGUGUAGAGAUGCAGAUGGUUACUACAUUGGAAGUUCUUCUCUGGUUAUUGAUGGAGUGAGCGAUGCUGCAACUAUGGAAGCAAUUGCCUGCUGUGAGACACUCUCCUUACCAAAUGACUUGAUGAUACAGAGCUUUGUGGUAGCUUCGGACUCGAAGCAGAUUGUGAGCGAGAUACACAAUGGCUCUAAUGGUAUAUAUGGGGCCAUCAUCUCAGACAUAAAUAAUAGCGCUCUUUUGUUUAAUUGCAAGUUUACUUUUGAAGGCCGAGUGGAUAAUCGCGACCCCAAUAGGUUAGCCAAGUGUUCUAAUUCUCUAGAUCAGGGGAGUAAUAAAGCUUGGUGAUCCUAAAAACCGACAAAACGGCGUCUGCAGCGCCGAUUAGGUCCCCGGCUGGGUUGGCCUAGAGAGUUGUACCACGAUGUCAAACAAAUUUGUGGCUGCGAGUGGGCUCGGGCGAUGAGGCCAUAUUAUCAAAAGAAAGCCCAUGUGAUAUAUGUCAGACAGUUGAAGUAGUAGCACACUCGAAAAAUAAAGUUGAAGUUUUACUCAAAAAAUAAAUAAAAAUAAAGUGGAAGUAGUAGUACCCUAAAAAUAGUUGUUCUAAAAAAAGGUUCAAGUCGUCUUUAAUUCAAAGGAUUCUCAAAUGAAUUUGAAUUAUAACAAGAUAUAAUGAAAUUAUGAAAGGUUUUAAUUAUCUACGGGUUCCUGAAAAAAAAGGGAGGACACGGCCUGAAAAUUACCAAGAACACCUGAGAGAAUAUCUUUCGUUCUUGAAAAGAAAUGUUUUUUCUCUAAAAAAUUCUUUAAUUUUUUCAUAUAAGUGCCACGCCAAGAAAACCAGACACGUUGCACACAUGUCAGCAAAAUCACUGGCCACGUACAAGAAAUUUAAACUCAUCCUACGAAGGAAAAUGACACAUGCCCAAGAUUACCAAGCAGAGCAACGAGGGGAGAAGGGACACAAAUAAAAAGAAGCGUAUACUAUUUCCAAGCAUUUACACGUCGCACUGGCAUCCCCAUGGAAAUUUCCCCUGCACUACACCUAGCAGAGCUAGCCUCCUCCUCCCAAUGGGCAAUGGGCAGCAUCGCUUUGCAAGAUUUGGAUCAAACCCCCCGUCCCUCCCGCUAGACUACUCCGAGAAGCCCCUUUCGCAUCCCAACAGCCGCACCCGCACUUUACUUGACCCGCCUAAAAGCAAACCUCUGUCUCUCCCACCCUCUCUCCAUCUCCACCGUAUGCAUGGCCGCCGGAUUCCCCCCGUCCCUCUCCUCGCUCCAGGAUGCCUCUUUCCCGGGAUCCCCUUUCCCUUUCCCCCUUGUCUUUGCUGUCUGUGAGCACCUUCGCCCCUGAACCCUUUAAAGCCCAAGAGCAAAGAGCAUAGAUUCCAUAACUCCGCUCUCACUCUCAGAAACCUUAUCCCCAUGACCUGACCCCCGUGUAUCAUGCAUGCUCAUCGCCGUCUCUUUUCCAUCCGUUUGGUCUCUGGCUGCUAGUACCAUUGUAGCUGCAUGCGUGAUCGACGCUGCUAGUACCUUCAGGGUUCAGACGAUUGUUGUCUUUGCCCUUUGGCGGCUCCAUCAGCUAGCCCGGUCGUUGGGGUUGGGGGCCAGUUCCAGUCCAAGAGGCAACGUAACAACACGCAGUGAUCGGCGGCUGGCAGCUUGGAGGCAGGGUAAAAGCGACGUGCAGCCAGUAAGAGCAACUCCAACGCAGCAACCCAAAAUGUCCAGCUAUGCCCGUUUGGGUCGGCGCGAACAAAAGUGGAGACCCAACGCGUCGACCCAAACCCAAAAUGCGUCCGCGCUGACGCAUUUCGGCACAAAUUAAGCGGACGCCUCGCGCGCCUUCUCGGUGUCUGCCUCGUCCCCACCUGGCGGCCGUCCAACUACCCCGCGGAUCGCCCACCUCGGGCCCACGUGUCAGCGACAACGAUCGUACUUUCUUAAGCCGAGCGUGCAGGGAGGCCAUCCUCAUCUGCUUCCAGAAAGCCCCCGUCCCCAUCUCGCUACCCUCUACUACCCCAUCGGUGGCAACCAUAGCCACCUCUAGCCAAGCAAAGAUGGGGUUCUUCUCUGCCUUCGGCAUCGGCAAAGCCAAGGACAAGGCCCCCGCCAACCCUCUCCNNNNNNNNNNNNNNNNNNNNNNNNNNNNNNNNNNNNNNNNNNNNNNNNNNNNNNNNNNNNNNNNNNNNNNNNNNNNNNNNNNNNNNNNNNNNNNNNNNNNNNNNNNNNNNNNNNNNNNNNNNNNNNNNNNNNNNNNNNNNNNNNNNNNNNNNNNNNNNNNNNNNNNNNNNNNNNNNNNNNNNNNNNNNNNNNNNNNNNNNNNNNNNNNNNNNNNNNNNNNNNNNNNNNNNNNNNNNNNNNNNNNNNNNNNNNNNNNNNNNNNNNNNNNNNNNNNNNNNNNNNNNNNNNNNNNNNNNNNNNNNNNNNNNNNNNNNNNNNNNNNNNNNNNNNNNNNNNNNNNNNNNNNNNNNGGCCAGGCAGCGCGUGAACAUGUCAGUGCACCAAGCGGAGUGGCAUUGGCAGCACCGCAUCCCUCUCCCCUACCUGGACGUCACCCUGCCGCACGACUGACAUUUGGAUCCGGAGAGGAUCCCAGUGCCGGCGGCACCGCGGUCGGCUAGGGCGCACGCGGAGGAGGUGUGGCGCCGACGGGCACUGCUGAUGCCGGAGCAGCGCAGCGACGCCGCAUGCGACGUCGACUCACCCUCUUGGGCUCGUUGGUUCGCCUUCGAGCAUGAGGAGGCGAGGCAACGCGGCGUCCACGAAGUCGCCCGCAGCUCGUCGCCGCCCCCCAUCGUCGUUCGCGACGAGGACCAGGAGGCGGAGGCCGCCUACCUGGCGGCCAUGGCGGCUGUCCUCCGGGAGAGCGAGGAGGAGGAGCGGCGCAGGGCGGCGGCGACGUCGGAGGAGGAGGAGGCGUACCAGGCGGCCAUGGCGGAGGCCAUGGCGUUGUCCGCAGGGGGCGACUCCGUCGUGCCGCCGAUAGCCACCCCGUCCCCAGUCAAGGCCUAGCCGGAGCCGGCGCCCGUCGAGCGCUACUCCUGGAACCGAGUAGUGCGCGAGUGGGUGAGCGCGCCGCUGAUCUGGCGCGGGGCGACGGAGGCGCAGGAGGCAGCGUACCUCGAGCAAUGGCGCCAGCGAUGGCUGGUCGGGUACUCGAGCAGCUCGAGCACGACGCCGAGGAUGAGCAGCGCGAGGCGGAGGAGGAGGCGCGCCAGGCCCAAGCAGCAGCGGCACAGCCCGCGCCCGACAUCGCCGUCGCCUGGAACACGGUGUUCUCCUGAACCGGCCCUGCGUCGACGCUCAUCAACCUCACCGGCCCCGACGUCGACUACGAGGACACUUAGGGCAGCGCGCCGUCUCGUAGUUAACUUUUCUUUAUGUUAAUUAAUGUAAAUAUGAACACAUGGACUCUUGCCGGCCUUCGUGGCCGGCUUUAAUGUUUAAUUAAUGUUUAUUUUUAUUUUCAAAAUGUUUGUAUUCUUUUUUUUUCACGCACCGUUAAAAUGGAUUGGCCCAGCGUUGGGCGCAUGCGCCGAUCCAAACGUGAAAGCGGACGUUGGUGUCCGCCGGGCCGACCCAAACGGAAAAACACGGACAAAAUUGUUGUCCGUUUUUGCUCUAAGUAAGGGUGCGGUCUGAACUCUGAACGGAGAAAACAACAGAAGUACCACGACGUAUGACCUGAAAUGUUUGGCUGCAAAGGUUAAAGUGGCCACGGAAAGAUUUAGCCUUCCAUGUCACUCAACUCAAUGCGACGCACUCUCAGCCUGUCACCCAUGGAAAACUGCAGUUUUGCAGAGCGGCAGGGUUCAGAGUUCAGACGAAUUGUUGGCGUGCAGUGCAGAGAUUUUCCUUUUACCAGUACUCCUCCUGUGGAUUUGUAAAGUGCUGAGCUAGAAAAGAUACCGCCAAGACCACUACAUGUCAUGCUAAAACAUACCAGUACCGUAGUACUCGUACGUGAAUUUCGUAGCAACGAACAUGAGUUGCUUUUGAUUGUAAAAUCUGAACCCUGAAGUGACCUGACCUGUCACUCCCAGUUCGCCAGUAUUAUACUACCAGUUCGACCUUCUUCCCAUGGUUCCUGUAACGUAAAUCGAGGCGCAUGCAUUGGACGAUUGGAUGGAUUGUUCAUGGCUCGUUGCGGUAGGGUGGAAUCCAUCCGUAAAGUCUACUCCACACCUAGCUCGUUGCGGAGGGUACGGAGCAAGAGGCGGCAUCUUCAUGUCGAUCAUCAUCUUCGUGUAGUAAUCAACGUGGAUCAUUUCAUGGGAAAAGAGGCGGGUUCUCGAAGGUAACCAACCAACCGUGGAUGGAGGCUUAAAGCCGUCGCUUAAUCAGUGGAUGAUGCAUGGAAGUGUGUGAGGAACGGAGGGAAGGCGUCGGCUACCAUUUGUGAGUACGUUUCUUUAUGGAUGGAAAGGAAGACUACGAAACUACUCGAGUUCGAAUUUCCAAAUGAUUGCAUUGUGUCGGUUAUGCCACAAAAGAUGGGUGUGUUCUCAAGGGCAAGGUCUUUCCUUUUGUUUUCUGAAGAAACCUAAGAUGGUCCUGAUGUUUUUUCUUAACGAGAGGUAAAAUUUCACGUGCUUGAAAAGAUGUAUACAGACAAAAAGAAACGAGGUUAACUAGGCGUUGGUUGAGUAAUCUCAGAGAAGAUUCAAGCCAAGCAAAUCUUCAAACUCUUCAGAUUUCUGAUGGACAAUUUUUCUACAGCAUUUGUCGAAAUCCCUCGAGGUCGAAUCGAAACCUAAUCACAUACCUCUCCUACUUUUAGAUAAUAUCAUCGGUCUCCAUUUGCAUGGAAAGGGGAAUGAAUGUCAAUCAACGAUGAUGGAUGGGGCUGGAGGAUAUGAGGAACAUUCAGAACGCAAUCCGAAUCGGCCCGGCAAGAUAUGAUAUUUCACAACAACUCUUUCCAGGAUCUCUUUCUCUGUGUCCACUCGAGUCGGAUGGUGCUUCACUCCUCAUCGAACCUUAACCCCCGCAGGGAUUAGCAUCCUGCAGGCUAUCAGAUUCCUAAUGACCACUGGCCGUUCUUUUCCUCUGGUUGCAUCUCACACUCAUUCUCUCUUUCCUAAUCGCGCAGCUUUUCUCCGCGGCACUGAAUUAUCCCCACCAUUCCACAUAUAUUCCGCCAGCCCCACGCGUGCAUAAUGAGAUGGAAUAAUGAACUAAUUUUCUCCAUCUUUAUCUCGCCCGCUAGCAAACACGCGUGCAUGCAGGGAAUAUAUGUAUAUAUCUCUCUCUGAAGAAUUUCUUGUCCUUUUCAUGUGUACCGGACAGUCAGAUUACUUACUGGCCCAAAUGCAGAAUAUGCUCGCCUGUACCAUGCACCAUCUUCCAAGAGAUCAUGCAGCACACACACACAUACACUGAUGGGUUUGGAAGUGAGCACAUCAAGCUAGCAGUGCAACUUUUGGGAGUAUCGCUACCGAUGCCACGGGCCACUACAAGCAACACCGACGCAUUAUCCUAUAUAGUAAUGUAAAACUAACAUUUUUGGGAGCAUGCCGCACGUUGUAUCAUUGUGGAACCGAGGUGGCUGAACUCUGAAUUCUAGGCACACAACGUAAGAUUAUCAGCAAGAUUCAGAGCCACCACGUCGAUCGUCUCGGUUUAGAUAUAAAACUGAAGAAACUCUGAUGAGACGAAUCAAGGAUCGAGAUCGCGUUGGCGUGUGCUGGCGCGAGCCUCAAGGGGAUACAAAGCGCUCGGGAUAUGGGCGGAGUAUAUAGGAAGGAAAAAACAAAGCGAAAAAAUUGCCGUGGAAAGGAGAGCGAGAAAUUUUUUGCGAGACGAGAGAGAGACAAAGGCGUAGCGCUAGGGUAGAGUGCAGCAGUCGGUAUGGGGUUGGGGCAGCGGGAAAUCUCGUGGAGAAUAUUCGCUGGGGUCGGUGGUGGGCGCCGGACAAAAGGGAUGCAUAUUCAGUUAUUCACGGGACGAUUUGGUGGGGGCCAUCCGCAGGACGACGCGUGUCACGAGGAGAAAGUGCCGAAAGCCGCUCUGCGCGCUCUGCACCGCACUGCACAACGGGCGGUCAGAGCGCACCGCUCCUGUACCUGCGGUGCUUGUACAGGUACUUGGAUGAUCCUCUUGACUUGGAAUCAUGGACCAACCUGCCCAUCUUGAAUUAGAGAACUUGGAUGACCAGUCAAAAAAUGAAGAGAGAACUUUCGCGACGGCUGCAUGCACUUUUUUUCGAACUCAGAUCACACUUCUUCGUGCAGAAAUGUCAACGUAAUUUUGACAGAGGAAACGAGGGUGUGGGAAAUUGGCUAGCCAUCGCGGUCAGUCACAUCUUUUCUGGUAGAUAGCUUGACUAAAUUCUUGGUUUGAGGAUUUUAUGUUUAUUUCUAGGUGAAAAUAUGGACGUGGACUUUCAAAAGUUACAAUGGAUCCUUGUCGCUCCAGCAAAGCGACUAGGGGCGGCAAACCAUAGUUAUCAUAUGGUUUGGCCGUGGUGGCGGCGGGCCUUGCUAGCCUACAUGGCUUCCUUGCACGCGGAACCGAAAACUAGCAGGAUGGAAAUCUAUGUCACUCCAGCAUUGGGUUGAUCGUAGGUGGCGGCGGUUCGCAAAUUUAGACAAACUCGACUCGUUUCGACUUGCGAGUAGCAUUGCUGACUAGGCAUGACCAUCAAGAUGGGCAGGAUGUGGGCUCUAGAUAUGGUCUAUAUACGUUUGCUAGGUCGAGUUAUAAGCCAUGAUGAAGAACUUCAAGGAGCAAGGGUGCUUUUGCGACGUUCCUGGUUUAGGCUAGUGGCAAAUAGGUGGACUGGUCGGGCUUGGAUUUAAGUGGCACAUGUCCGAGCAAUACGAUGGAAAGUCGGGGUGAAGGCCUUGUCUUUGGCGUGUAUCUAUAGGAGAUGAUGUUGAUGAUGCGUGGGAUUAUCAUUACCGUCUUUGGCAUUGUCGGGGUGAAGCAUGCUCCUUUCCUACGCUAGGAGUGGCUUUGGUGCGUCUGCAUAGCCCCCUCCUCGGGGGCAUCCUGUUAGGAGAUGGCACUAGCCAUAAGGACUAGUGGGGAGUACCCUGUCAAAGAUGAUGUCGCAAUUUAUGCGAUAUUGACGAUGUUGGUGAGCGAACAUAGACCAUGAUAUGGAUUUCAAUGUCGGUGGUCCAGUGUGUUAGUUCGGUCUAUGCAUGUUGCUAGAUUUUGCUAUUUUAUGAUGCUUCGAGAGUUGGGUGGGAAAGACAACAAGGCGUCGAUGAUUGUGAAGGUUCAUUUGGUCGGAAGCACUCUCCAUCUAUUAGAUCGGACUAGGUUGGUGCGGGGCUUGCAACUUCCUCUUGCAAAUUUUGCUGUCAGAAAUGGAGUUAUCUCAUGGUUGACACAUCAGUUGAAUACUUUUUGGAAGGGGCGACAUGGAUUUUUUGUCGUGGUUAUCGGUGUGUUGGUGUUUUCAUAAAGUUAAAUCAAAGUCAAGAGAUCAGAGUGUGGGUGGUGACAAUGACGCUGCUCAAUGGCCACAAUGGAUAGUUUCUUAACCGUGUGUGUUGAGCAUUCGUUGGUACCCUGGUGGCAUGCUUAGAAGAGGAUGUUGUGUCUUUAUGCAUGUGUAAUCUCGGUUUUCACUCUUUUUCAAUAAUUAACUAGUCUUUAGUCUUUACACUUCAAUUGGCGAGAAAAAAAGUCAUCAUCACGUGUUUGGUUCGCGGGAAUCAGAGAUGGGGAAUGGGAGUUGAGGCGUGAAGCUAUUAAGAAUCUACCGAUUGAUUAGUGGGAUGAAAAUUUAAGUGGGAAGGGGAAUGAGAGUUGAGGGAGCCGACUCACAUUGAUCUAUUCUCAUGGGGACCUUGGUAAUUCUUGGGUUGCUCCCCAUCCUAGAUUAAUUUCUAUCAUAAAUCAAAUAAGGAAAUGGGAGUAAAAAUCUAUUUGCCACUCCUAUUCUGUCCAGAGAUUCACUUAUGCAAUUUCCUAGCCUAAGAGCAUCUGUAGACAAUCCCUUAUAAUUUAGCUUCACUCUCUAAAAAAUAUCUUCAUCAAUUCUUCUAAGUAUUGGUUUGCGUACUACAUUUCAACUACAUAUUUGCACACAUAUUAAAUCCAAAUUUAAUAAUGAAGCUCAAAGUGCAACUAAUCCUCAGGUGGUUUUAGUAAUUGAUAACAACAUAUACAUCAUUGAGCUGAUGCUUAUUCAAAGAUCAUUUCAGGAAAGUUCAAUGUAGGCAUGGCAAGGACAUGUUAUUGUAGACCCGUCAAAAUGCUAAGGAUAUACAUUGGCAAAGGCUUGAAGACUCUACAUUUUUGGCUAAGUGAUCAAAGAUCACAUUGAAUCCAUAGGAAAGCCAAUACUAGUAAAAGCGGAUGAGGCGUUGAUCAUGAGUCAUUCACUCAAGUGCUUGAAGAAAUUGCUCCGAAACUGUUGGGGAUAUAACCCCUAGGUGUGACUCGCCCAGGAGAAGUCAGGUUACACUACUGGCGACUCAUAAGUGAAGGCCCAAAUAGGCCCAAGGAGAUAAGAUGUGAAGACUGGAGGCGGUUUACCAGAAGGAUCAACUGAAGGCCCAAGACCUGGAGGAGGGCGCUGUGACCCGGAGAUGUGAGCCGCCCGAUGGUGACUUGCCUAGCAAGGCAGAGCGACUUAGAACCCAAGUUGGUCAUGUUGUGUGAUCCGACUGGGACUCUUGUAAGCCAGGGCCUCGACCUGUGUAUAUAAAGGUGAGACCCUGCGGCGGGUUAACUCAAGUUACAAUUGAUCGAGAGCUAGGUUAAGCGAUUCCGCUCCAUUGUAAUCGAUACUCAAUCAAUACAACACAAAGCAGGAAGUAGGCUUUUACCUCGUUGAGAGGGGCCGAAUGUAGGUAAACUCAUGUCCUUCGUCCCGUUCAACCCCUUCAAGCUAACAUACGUUGCGAUGGCUCCACACCUAAGUCCUUUCACGGGCAUUUGUCGUGAUAAAACCACGACAAAAACCCUCAUCCACUUUCCCACAUUCCAAUCUGUCUAGAACCCUAAGUCCAAUCUCGGUCCAACCAAAAUGCUCCUGUCCGGACCCACCAAGAUACACUAGACAAUGGCAUAAUCCUAACCUUAGAAACUCGGUUCUACCGAGAUGACAUUCGGUCCCACCGAAGUGCAGCGACUAAGUUUCUCUAACCCAUUGUGUUCACCUCAGAAUUAUCGAGAUGAACCGACUAAAAUUACCGAGAUGAGGAGUCUACUUAGGUCAUCACAUAUCAGUCCGACUGAGUGGAUUCAUCCGGUCAAACCGAAACGUCUAAUAUUAGAAUCUUUUGCAGAGGUUGGUCCCACCGAGAUUUACUUUCGGUCUCAACGAGUUAUGCAUAAAGUUUAUAACGUCUAGAUCUUUGGUGAUGGCUAUAAAUACCCCAUAAACACCAUACUCUCAGAGAGAGCAACCAAGACAAAACUACACUUGCCAUAUCCAUUUUCUGAGAGAGAACCACCUACACUUGUGUUGAGAUCAAGGCAUUCCACUCCAACCAUUUGACCCUAGAUUUCUAGCCCCCUCAAGUUGCUUUCCACUUCAAUCCUUCUCCCAUCACCAUGCCAAAUUUGUGAGAGAGUGAUUGAGUGUUGUGGAGACUAUCUUUUGAAGCACAAGAGCAAGGAGUUCAUCAUCAACAACAACAUCUAUUACCUUUUGGAGAGUGGUGUCUCCUAGAUUGGUGAGGUGUCACUUGGGAGCCUCCAACCUUGUGGAGUUGAACCAAAGAGUUUGUAAGGGAAAGGAGAUCGCCUACUUCGUGAAAAUCCACCCUAAGUGAGGCUAGUCCUUGGGUGUAAGUCAUGGUGGAAUAGACAAGGUUGCUUCUUCGUGGACCCUUCAUGGGUGGAGCCCUCUGUGGACUGGCACAACCAUUACCCUUCAUGGGUUCAAGUCUCCAUCAACGUGGAUGUACAAUUAGCAUCACCUAUCAGAACCACGCCAAAAAUCACGUGUCUUCAUUGCGUUUGAUAUCUUUGAUCCCAACCUUUACGUUCAUAUGCAAAGUCUUUACUUUCUUCUACCUACUACUCUAGACUUGCAUGUGUAGAUUGUUGUUUGACUUGUGAUUGUUGCUAAAACUUGCCUACAACUAAAAUUGGGAAAAGGCUAGGUUUUUGUUUGUCACAUAGUCUAAUCACCCCCUCUAGACCUACUUCGAUCUUACACAAGCUUCACAUAGUUCAUGGAUAUUACAAAUUUAAAGUUUACUAAUCAAAUUAUUCAAAUUCAAACACACAAACGAGUCAUAAUGAAGAAAGAGCAUGACAGAAGCACAACCAUCAAGUGAUAUGGAGUGCACAUUGAUGCUCAACAAAAUCAUCUUGGAGUUAGGUAUGAACUUCUUGGUUUUUAGUACGUUAUGCGAUGUGGGAAAUCUCUGUAUCCUUUUUGGAUGGUGUUCCACCUCAACAGGAUCUCCAUUGGAAAUGUACCUUAAGUUUUCUGGCAUGACUCUAUCAUCUUCAAUGUUCAUGUUAUGCAAGAUGAUUCAACAUGUCAUAACUUUUGAUAGGAUUCGUGGGUUCCAAUACUCGACAAUGCCAUGAAUAAUGGCAAAAAGCAUCUGAAGCACACUAAAAGAUCUCUCUUCAUCCUUUCUUGCUGACUCUUGACACAUUGCAAAGUGGGAUCUCUUGUUGCCUUGAGGAAGCGGGGUUGUCUUCACAAAGUGCCCAUGGAGGAUAGAUACCAUCUACAAGGUAGUAGCCCAUCUUGUACAAAUGACCAUUGCCAACAUAACUGCAAGGAGGAGUAUCUUCAGCAACAAGCCUUCCGAACAUUAUUGAUCUCGACAACACAUUUAGGUCAUUAUGAGAGCUAGACAAUCCAAAGUAUGAAUGUCAAAUCCAUAGAUCCUCUGAUGCAACUGCCUCAAGAGAUUCCUUGAUCUUUGGACUGACCUUUGUAGUGAUUUUUCCUUCCCACAAGACAAUUUUUCCAUGUAUAGUGAAUGCAAUCAAUUGAUCCAAGCAUCCCAGACCAUCCUCGUUCUUUACUCAAACCCAAGACUUUCUUGGUGUCUUCAUCAUUGGGUGCCCUCAAGUACUCCAGCUCAUAGAUCCCAAUCACGGUUUGUGUGUAUCUUUGAACGACCUCGAAGAUUGAAUCUUUCUCAAUGCAGAAAUAGUCAUCAAUGGCAUCGACCGAACACGGGCAAGCACUUGAACAACUGCGACACACUUCAUCAAUGGGCUCACACUUAUCUCCCGAUGCCCUCCUACUUAGUUUAAACCAUGGAUCAUGCUUCUCCGCAACUUUUGCAAUGGUGAGGAAGAGACUUCGAUGCGUUCGAAAUCACUGAAGGAAAUACUUCUUCGGAUAGGUUGAAUUGGGAUUGAAGUAAUCCUUCAUAAGCUUCUCUAUUUUGAUUGAUGUACAAAUGACCGAACCGUGGUCCUAGUCUUGAUCACUGAAAGUUCUUGUUAACGAUCAUGAUAAUGGCCUUUUAAAAUCAUCAUCGUCUUCUUCCUUGUCGUCCGACAAAGAUUCGUCAAAGAACAUCGCAUUCUAGGUUGAAUUUGAUAGCAAAAACAGGGAAAAAUAGUGAAAAAGCCAAAAAAAAAUGCACCUAGUAAAUUCUUCAAACACUUUGCGUGCGGAGGAGGUGAGAGCCUUGGCCGGCGAGGUUGAAGCGAUGCCAAGGCUAGGGGUGGACGACAGGGCUUUGAGCUGGAAGAUUCUCCUGAAACCGUGCUCGCCGGUCGCUCGCCAAGUUCGUCGUGGCCGAAUUGCCUUGUUUGGAAUUUCGCCAGCCUUGCUAUGAUUUUGACGCCGCCUAGCUCCUCCGUGGCUGAUUUGCGUCAUAUUCGUUAUUUGCUAGGUCCAUUUUGGAACAACAAGCUCGAUGGUUGGUUUUUUCAUCCACGGGCUCAAAGUGGCGACGCCAGGGAUAUGUGUCAAUUUCGGUGACGGUGACGAGCGGCGGGCGAAUCGAAGUGCGGGAUGGCGGCGGAGGCUACUACAUGUGGACGCCGGAGGUAACACCAACGUCAAUGCAGUGCCAGCGGGGGGAGAUGGCCGGCGCGGGCGCGGAUCGAAAUUAUCCUGAGAAGUGGUUGUGGCCGAGUAUAUUUGAGGGCCAGCCAACGCGGGACUUAUAAUUUUUGAAGAGUUACACCGGAUAAGGGUUUGUCAGGUUGAAAUCCACAAAUUUAAAAAUAUAAGGAGUUAAAGUUUUUUAAAGAAUCAGCUAGCAUGCUCUAAAUGUUGCUAAACAGACUGUCAAACGUCAGCUUAAAAUGUGUUCAGGACCUUUCCUGAACACGUCGACUCUUUGUUUGCAUGCAUAAAAGAUACAUAAUUUAUUUUGCGGUUAAAAGAAGAUAUUUAAGUUUGUAAUUUCAUGGGUGGGUACAUAGGUAGGUAUGUACGUCUUCAAGCUUAGGAUGCAUGCAUGUGGUAUACGUAAGUACCAUACUAGCUAAUGUUCGUACAGAUAGAGAAUCCCGGGAAAAGGCAGGGAUUGGAGUCUUGUACCUGAAGACUGCCCCAGGAAAGCGACCAACCCUAAUUAUUGCACAGGGAAUUCGAUGCACCAUCCAAAUANNNNNNNNNNNNNNNNNNNNNNNNNNNNNNNNNNNNNNNNNNNNNNNNNNNNNNNNNNNNNNNNNNNNNNNNNNNNNNNNNNNNNNNNNNNNNNNNNNNNNNNNNNNNNNNNNNNNNNNNNNNNNNNNNNNNNNNNNNNNNNNNNNNNNNNNNNNNNNNNNNNNNNNNNNNNNNNNNNNNNNNNNNNNNNNNNNNNNNNNNNNNNNNNNNNNNNNNNNNNNNNNNNNNNNNNNNNNNNNNNNNNNNNNNNNNNNNNNNNNNNNNNNNNNNNNNNNNNNNNNNNNNNNNNNNNNNNNNNNNNNGUAUGGGAAUAGAGAGAUCUAGACAGAGAGAGAGAGAGAGAGAGAGAGAGAGAGGAAUCUUCUUAGCUUCCUGCCCACUUCCUCAAAAAGCUAGGAGUAGUAGCAGCAGGGGAGAUUCUCACUCACACCGCUCUCUUUCUCUCUCUAAAGCACACCCCAUGUCUCCUCCCUUUUGUCCUUCUUUGUGUGUGCUGUAUGUUGAUACCCUCCAAAGCCUAAGAUAUUCCUUGCUUCACCCAUGCUAAUAUAUUCCCUUGUGAAUGCAAAGUGCACCGCCAGUGCCAGUACGUGGUAGUUCUUGAGGCAUAUACACACAUGUGUUCUUGCACACACAAACUGCUAAUAUGAGCCAUGGUAGUGAGGAAGAAGAAGGGGAGGAGCUUGUGUGUGAAGGGAUGCGCCACCCUUUUCAAAGCAAAGAGGGAAGAAUCUUUGCAUAUCUUUGAGGGCUUGAAGUUGUGUGUGGAGUAUAUGCUUUAGCACCCCUUUUACCAUGUCCUCUCCGUUGAUUAAUCAUGCAGGAAUCAUUCACUGGAACUGGAACCCCAGAAAACAAAAGGUGGCCACUGUGUGUGCGAGCAUCUCUGCAUGAUAUGGUUUCUUUGGACGUGAUAAAUUAGGUUUAUGAUGAAUUUGCUUGCCUCCUUUUGGUUUUUGUUAGUGCAAGUAGCAGAGGAUGAUGUGAUUCCCAUCCCGGCUAGCUAGGUAUAUCUGGUGAUUAUCCCUUCGUGUGCGUGUCUGAAACCAUUCAAUAUUGUUAAUGGUAAAGGUAAAAAUAUUCUUCAAGACACCUUGCUGGUUCUCUCUUGGACUUGCAAGGUUCUCUUUGGACUACUUUGAGGCGGUCACCUUUAAUUCUUUUGAAUCGGGAGCACCGAGAGAAACUAAGCUAACUUCCUGUGGGUGAUGGGUUGAUUCCCUGCCGUAAAAACGAUUGUAAAGUUUAACCUAUCACAAAAAUGAGGCAUCCAUGUGAAAAGAUUGACCAAGGAAAAUACAUCCAUGUGGCGCUGGAUGGGUGGUCAGACUUUCAGCAUGACAAGACAUAGCCAACAAACCAAAGGUUCCUAGAUUUUCAUGCAUGUAAGAUGUCCAGAGAUGUUUGAUAAGAGGGUGCUGCAUGUAUAUGCUACUUUCAAGGACGUACGUAUAUGCUAGGUUCAUUUGAUCUUCCUAUUAAGAUGGUAGCUGGACAAGGAGAGAGAGAGUGAGACUCACUGUAUGUUACGGCCCACCCUGCCACUGCUAUGAAGAGCCCAGCGGGAGACGAGGCCCAGGAACCAGGCAAGAGGGUGAGAAGGCCCAGCGAGCGCUACCCAGCCCACAAGUGGGUGACCUAGGCUACUUAUCGGGAGGAGUCUCUGGAGGAAGGCAGGCAGGAUUUAGUUGGCAAUUCUUCGGCGGCGGCGGCUUCCUUCCCCUCCCCCUCUCUUUAGAACCCUAGUUACUUCAGAUUUGGUGUAGUUCCGAGACAAUCUUGUAUUAGAUCCACUGAGAGCGUAACAUUUUGGUAAUCAGAGCCUUCUUCCACCACUCCACCAAUCGAUCGAACCUGGCGGGGCGUUUUCCCUCGAUCAUCCAGACGAGAAGCGGCAAGGCCAUCACCAUGGAAGAGCACAGCAAGGCGCUGGCCGAUCUGACGGCGGCUAUCGCCGCGAUGACGGCGAAGAUCGACGACAUCCAUCCGGUCGUCCUCGAGUUCCAAGGAUGGAGACCGACGAUCGAGCAAUCAGUCGAGGAUCUGCGAGCGGAGGUGGGCGAUCUGCGCGCGCAACUGCGGGAUAAGGGCAAGGCGACGGAUCCCGCCGUGCUGUUGCGCGCUCCUCCACCAACAGGCCCUUCGCAAGCGCCGUCACAGCACCAGCCGCCCCUGCUCCUUCAACCACCUCCGAUCCGGCUGGUGGAUCUGCCGCCAAUUCCCGGUCAUGUGGCGGACGAGCCCUUCCAUCGGGUGGGGGAGCCACUACCGGCUGCGGGUGGCGACGGCCACGGGCCAAUGGGCCACGACAGGGCUACCAUCCACCGGGGGAUGUCACCGGGGGAGCACACCCCGAGGGCGCCUCCGGUCACGGGUACGCACAAUUCUCAGUUUCCAUUCGGGGAGAGUUCAUUCUUUGGGGAGCGCAACUAUCACAGAUUUCCACCACCACCGCGUUUCGAUUUUCCGCUGUUCGAUGGGGAUGGCCCUCGAGCUUGGCGGCUGAAAUGCGAGGCGUAUUUCAGAGUGUGUACCCUUAGCCCAGAUACAUGGGUGAGCUGCGCCGCGAUGUACUUCAUCGACGGGGCUUUAUCUUGGUUGCAAUCUACCAAGGCUCACAUGAUAUACACUGAUUGGGGCACUUUUGCCGAAGCGGUCUGUGUGCAGUUCGGGCGCGAGGAAUUCCAGUCCCUCUUGCGUCAGUUUAACAGGCUGCGACAGAGUGGCUCGGUGGCUGAGUACGCCGAAAAAUUUACCCAGUUCAUGCAUAACCUUACAGCACACCAUGAGUCUUGGAAGCCCUCAUACUUUGUCACGCAUUUCAUCGAUGGGUUACAAAAAGAAAUUCGAGCAGCUGUGGUUUUACAUCAACCAAAAUCUCUCGAUACUGCCGUCGACCUUGCUUGUUUGCAGGAAGAAGUACUGGAGGCGAUGCGCCGCGAGGACAAAUGGGAGGAGCGGCGCUACUCAGCGCCCGCUACGUCGCGAGCGGUGCCCCGGACGGCGCUGCCCCUUCCACCGCCACCAACCACCGCGCCACCCAAGCAGCCGGUCACAUCGGAAGCGCGCAGUACCGAUCGCUGUGCGGUGGAGGCAGCACACCCACCACCACCGGAGGACAAGAUGGCGACGCUGCGAGCGUACCGCCGGGCGCGCGGCCUCUGUUUCACCUGCGGCGAGCGGUGGGGGCGCGAGCAUCGCUGCGGACCGACAGUGCAGCUUCACGUGGUGGAAGAACUGUUGGACAUGAUGCGCAGCGAACCUGGUCUCAGUGGUGAAGAAACGUCCGGCGAAGCCACGCCAAGUGAACAAGAAGCUGAUUGUUGUGUCAUCUCCAAGGAGGCAAUGGAGGGCGCUGAAUCCCCUACUACCAUGAGACUCCAUGGGUGGGUUCAGGACCGCGAGGUACUCAUGUUGGUGGACUCAGGCUCUUCUCACAGCUUCGUCAGUGAGACUCUGGCAGAUCAUUUGCAAGGGGUGCAGCAGGCUCAGAGCGCCAUAACGGUGCGGGUUGCAAAUGGAGGUGUGAUGCGCAGCGACAAGGAACUACCAGACUAUCAAUGGCAUACUCAAGGGGUGACCUUUACUACCAACCUCCGAGUGCUUCCUCUGGGCAGUUAUGACAUCCUUCUAGGGAUCGACUGGUUGGAGCAGCACAGCCCGAUGAAAGUGCACUGGAAGGAGAAAACCAUGAGUUUUGAUUAUGUGGGGAAGCGGGUACACUUGCAAGGGGCUCGAGCGGAUACCACUCAGUGCCAACAGCUGUCCAGCAAGGAGUUAGAUGCGCUGCUGCAGCGUGCCGGGGUCGCACGGGUGGUGCACUUGUGUGCCAUGGGAACGGAAGAGAUCCAGGCCACCGAAUUACCAGUUCCUCCAGCCAUUUCCGACCUUCUGCAAGAGUACAACCACCUGUUUGCUGAGCCGAGCGGCUUGCCGCCACGACGCGCUUUCGACCACACCAUACCUCUGCUACCUGGAGCGCGCCCGGUCAACAUCCGACCAUACCGCUAUAGCCCGGCGCAGAAGGAUGAGAUUGAAAGACAGGUGGCAGACAUGUUGGCGCAAGGAAUUAUCGUACCCAGCACCAGUCCGUUUGCUUCACCAGUUCUGCUGGUACAGAAAAAAGACCUAACAUGGCGUUUUUGCGUGGAUUAUCGGCACCUCAACGCAGUGACAGUUAAGAACCGGUUCCCUCUACCGGUGAUCGAUGAGCUCCUGGAUGAACUUGCGGGGUCCAAGUUUUUCACCACCUUAGACCUGCGGUCGGGGUACCAUCAAAUUCGUAUGAAGCCCGAGGAUGAGCACAAAACUGCCUUCAAAACCCACCACGGCCACUUCGAGUUCCGGGUUCUUUCCUAUGGACUGACAGGCGGUCCGGCGACUUUUCAAGGGGGAAUGAACAUUGUUCUGGCACCAGUCAACCGGAAAGGAGUCCUGGUUUUCAUUGAUGACAUCCUGAUUCACAGCGACACCCUGGAACGACACAUCCAGCUCAUGCGGCAAGUGUUCCAGCUACUUAACGAACACCAACUGAAGAUCAAAUUGAGUAAGUGUUCAUUUGCCAGAACCAGUCUCACCUAUCUGGGGCACGAAAUUAGUGCAGAAGGAGUAAGGACCGACGGCAAGAAUGUGGCUGCAGUUCAGAAGUGGCCAACCCCGACAAAUGUCAAAGAGGUACGCGGGUUCCUUGGAUUAGCAGGCUACUACCGCAAGUUCAUCAAGAACUUUGGCAUCAUCAGCCGGCCACUCACGGAUCUGCUCAAGAAUAACACGGUUUUUCGGUGGACUGAGCUCGAAGCCGCAGCGUUCCAAGAGCUCAAAACUGCACUAGUCACUGCUCCGGUGUUAGCCCUACCGGAUUUCUCGAAGCCGUUUGAGCUUGAAACAGAUGCCUCGGACCGGGGCAUUGGAGCAGUGUUGCGCCAAGGUAACCAUCCAGUGGCGUUCCUCAGCAAAGCUUUGGGUCCCAAGAACCGUGCCUUGUCCACCUACGAAAAAGAAGGCCUGGCAAUCCUUAUGGCAGUGGAGCAAUGGCGUAUUUAUCUGUAGAGUGACGAGUUUGUGAUCCAUACAGACCAACGCAGCCUGGUGCACCUUGAAGAUCAGCGCUUGGCUACACCCUGGCAGCAGAAGAUUAUGGCGAAGCUGCUGGGUUUGCGCUACAGGAUUGUGUACAAACGGGGAGAAGACAACCGAGUGGCAGAUGCCCUGUCACGUCGACCCGGGCCACUGCAAGGGGACCUGGCCACAGUUACCGUGGUAGUGCCGAUCUGGCUUGAAGCAGUGCAGCAAGGGUACAACACUGACCCAGCAGCUCAAAAGUUGCUUGCACGUCUAGCUACUGAACCCAAUGGCCACGACGGAUUCCUUCUUCAGAACGGCAUCAUCAAACACAAUGGGCGCGUGUGGCUCGGGAACAACGUGCCCCUGCAGAAACAAGUCUUGACAGCCUUACACUCCGGCGCGAUCGGCGGUCACUCAGGGUUCAAUGCCACCUACCGUCGAGUCCGCCGGCUGUUCACUUGGCCGGGCAUGAAGCAACACGUGAAACUGCUGGUGGAAGAAUGUCAGGUUUGCAAGCAAGCAAAACCCGAACGGGUCCGUUACCCAGGACUGCUGGAACCCCUACCCGUGCCCAAGCAAGCUUGGGAGCUUAUCACCAUGGAUUUCGUUGAAGGGCUGCCGCAGUCGUCGCGAUACAACAGCAUCAUGGUGGUCGUGGACAAGUUCUCGCGGUACGCACAUUUCAUCCCAUUGUCGCACCCCUUUACGGCGUUUCAAGUUGCCCUUGCAUUCGUCAACAACAUAUACAAGCUUCACGGAUUGCCGGAGGCCAUCGUCUCGGAUCGAGACCCAAUUUUCACCAGUACCAUGUGGAAGGAACUGUUCAGGUUGACUCACACGGAACUGCGCAUGAGCACGGCACGGCACCCCCAAACCGACGGGCAGUCCGAGCGAGUAAACCAAUGCUUGGAGACAUACUUACGCUGCUUUGUGCACGCCUGUCCGUCCAAGUGGUCUGCAUGGUUGGCUCUCGCAGAGUUCUGGUAAAACACCUCACCGCAUUCAGCCUUGGGAACUUCUCCGUUUGAAGCGCUGUAUGGUCACGGCCCUCGGCAUUUUGGCAUUCUAGACCCGAUGGCAUGCGCUGCACCGGACCUUCAGGAUUGGCUUCAGGAUCGAGCCCAGGUGGAGGCGCUGCUACGGCAACAUCUGCUUCGUGCACAGCAGCAAAUGAAAGAAUCUGCGGACAAGCGGCGAUCAGAUCGAGCAUUUGAAGUGGGCGACUGGGUGUUCCUCAAGAUCCAGCCCUACUUACAACGCUCCCUGGCCACCAGAACUAACCAGAAACUGUCUUUCAAAUACUUUGGCCCCUUUCAGGUGAUUCAACGGGUGGGUUCGGUGGCGUACAAGCUCCAGCUUCCGGACAAGUGCUCCAUACACCCCGUCUUCCACGUCUCUCAAUUACGGCGCGCCUUACCACCAGCUGAGAAGGCCCUCGAAGACCUACCCACGGCCGCUGCGCCAAGCCCUGAGCCAGUGGAGAUCCUGGCCAGCCGGCAACGUCUCCGAGGCACGACCCCAGUGCAGCAAGUACUGGUGAGGUGGACUGAUCAGCCAGCCUCAUUGGCAACCUGGGAGGAACGAGACGAGUUGCAUCGACACUACCCUGAAGCUCCANNNNNNNNNNNNNNNNNNNNNNNNNNNNNNNNNNNNNNNNNNNNNNNNNNNNNNNNNNNNNNNNNNNNNNNNNNNNNNNNNNNNNNNNNNNNNNNNNNNNNNNNNNNNNNNNNNNNNNNNNNNNNNNNNNNNNNNNNNNNNNNNNNNNNNNNNNNNNNNNNNNNNNNNNNNNNNNNNNNNNNNNNNNNNNNNNNNNNNNNNNNNNNNNNNNNNNNNNNNNNNNNNNNNNNNNNNNNNNNNNNNNNNNNNNNNCCUGCCACUGCUAUGAAGAGCCCAGCGGGAGACGAGGCCCAGGGACCAGGCAAGAGGGUGAGAAGGCCCAGCGAGCGCUACCCAGCCCACAAGUGGGUGACCUAGGCUACUUAUCGGGAGGAGUCUCUGGAGGAAGGCAGGCAGGAUUUAGUUGGCAAUUCUUCGGCGGCGGCGGCUUCCUUCCCCUCCCCCUCUCUUUAGAACCCUAGUUACUUCAGAUUUGGUGUAGUUCCGAGACAAUCUUGUAUUAGAUCCACUGAGAGCGUAACACUGUACAUACAGUACAAAGACCAAAAACCACAUGACCCCAGCUGUGUCAUGCGUGGUCGCCUUGCUACGGCUAUAUCCUACUGCACCACCUUGUGGUACAUGAAACCUCCUGCAUGCAUGCAUGCAUGCAGAGGAUUAGCUUUUGGCCCCUUUGAUCUUUGCAAGAAGUUACCAUGCCCUUGGCUUUAUCCCUCUAGUCUAGUCUGCAGUUCUGGUGGUCUACAGUACCUAGAUCAAAGUAUCAAACACACACAUACAUACAGGGAGAAACUUUUCCUUUUCACCCCCUCUAAAUCCGACUUUAUUCUCUCUACCCUCCCAGAAAUCACCCUUAAAAACAAGCCGAUUCCACCCCGAUCCCCCCAUCCACACACACACCCCUGAUAUCUAAGCAGGAGUAAUAUACUGGAGCUUCCCUAGCACCUCACUAGCUGCACCACUUCACACACAUGGAUUCCUCGCCGUCUGACCUAACCCUAGACUACACGCCCAGCGGCAACGGCGCGGCGUCUGCCGGCGGCGGCUAUCCAAAGCAGGCGUCGCCGGUCGUGGACCACCACCAUCAUCUCUCGGCGGAGCAGGCGACGACGCAGAAGCUGCAGGAGUUCCUGGCCCGCCUCGACGACGAGCGGCUCAAGAUCGACGCCUUCAAGCGCGAGCUCCCGCUCUGCAUGCAGCUCCUCAACCAAGGUAAUUAACGUGCCGAACUGCCCAUGCAUGUGUGCUUACGUGGAAGGCGAUGGAGCUCUGCCUGACUGAAUAAUGUAUGUGUGGGUGGGUGCAGCUAUGGAGGCGUACAGGCAGCAGCUGGAGGCGUGCCAGAUGGGGAGCCAUGGCGGCGCGGCGGCGAGGGCGCCGCUGGUGCUCGAGGAGUUCAUACCGCUGAAGAACAUCGGGAUCGACGCGGCGGAGAAGGCGGCCGGGAACGCGCCGUCGGAGAAGGCGAACUGGAUGGUGUCGGCGCAGCUGUGGAACGGGCCGGCUGCGGGAGACGCGGCGGCCAAGGGCCCGCAGACUCCCAAGGAGCGCUCGGAGCACCCGCUGGACACGAGCCCCAUGCUGGGCGGGCUCGACGGCGGCGGCGGCAACGGCGUCGGCGCCUUCCUCCCGUUCACCAAGGAGAAGGCCUGUAUGGCGGAGAGUGCGGCGCUGCCGGAGCUCGGGCUCGCGCCCGCGGAGAAGGACCGGGAGGCUGACAGAAAGCCGUACCACGACGACGGCGGCAGCAACGGCACUGUAGUCUCGCGGAGAGACGUCGGUGCACCACCGACGUCUACGGCGCCGGAAGGGCAGUCGGUGCCGCCCGCUCCGCAGACGAACCGGAAGGCCCGGCGGUGCUGGUCGCCGGAGCUGCACCGCCGCUUCGUCAAUGCCCUUCAAAUCCUGGGCGGCGCUCAAGGUAUUCACACAGACGUCCUCAUGUAAUGAUCUACUGUAGUAACUAUUUGGAUGCAUCAAAUUAACCUGCUGAGUCUGAAUGAAUUACGUGUGUGCCCAAGACAAAUUCUAAAUCUCUUUUGUUGUUUGCAAAUUGAUUAAAGUGGCGACCCCGAAGCAGAUCCGCGAGCUCAUGAAGGUGGAUGGAUUGACCAAUGAUGAGGUGAAAAGCCAUCUCCAGGUAAUUAUAAUCUCAUCAUACGCAUCUUGCAUUCUCUCUUCGUACGUUCCAGUAAUUAUGCAUGCUGCUGCUUUAAUUAUGAGUAGAACGAUUAACUGAUUAUUAUAUGAACACAUGACACAUGGGUGCGUGUGUAUCUAAAUUGAAGUUUUUGUUUGUGUUGCGAGCAGAAGUACAGGUUGCACACGCGACGGCCGAUGCCGGCGCCGACGGCGCCGCCUGCGGGGGCGCCGCAGCUGGUGGUUCUUGGGGGCAUAUGGAUGCCGCCGGACUACGCGGCGCAGGGGGCUGGACCGACCGCCAUCUACGGGGCGCACCCGGCGACGCAGGCGCACUACACGGCGGCGGUGUCGGCGCAGGAGUACUACCAGAACGCAGCCGCGGCCGCCCACCACGGCCACCACAUGCAGCACCACCAGGCGGCCUCCAUGGUGCACCACCGCGCGGUGGCACCUACGCCACCGCAGACCGCCUACAAGGUGGACCCGGUGUCGGCAGCAGGGUCCCAGGGGUCGUCGGAGGGCCGGCGUAGCAGCGGCGGCGGCAGGGAGAGGUCGGAGAGCAUCGAGGAGGAGGGCGAGGAGCGGGAGGACGAGGAGGACGAGGACGAGGACGGCAUGGCGGCCAACGGCGACGCCGAGCAGAUCAACUACUAAUUAAACGGAUCAAUUAAGUAGCGCGCGCACCAAUUAGCUAGUAGCCCCUAAUUAAGAAGUUGGUAUAACGAGAUUGUUUUCUGUCCGGAAAGUGAUUUUUUGGCGCGGAGAACGGAAGCCGGUCUCUGGCUUGAGUGGAGCAGCGGGAGCCUGAGAUUGUCUCAUUCGUGAUGUGAUCGAUAUACGGAUGGAUUUGUGAGGCCUUUUCUCUCCUUCUUUUUUCUUCCCCUUCCUCUUUUGGGCUUUGUUUUUGUGCUAGCAAAUAAUUUGGUAAAUAUUUCAUGAUGGAAAUAUAUGACUAGCUUUGUAAACUUGGUUGGAGGGGAAAAUAAUACUCCCUCCGUUCCUAAAUAAUUGUCUUUCUAAAGAUUUCAACAAGUGACUACAUACGGAGCAAAAUGAGUGAAUCUACACUCUAAAAUAUGUCUACAUACAUCCGUAUGUUAUAGUCCAUUUGAGAUGGCUAGAAAGACAACUAUUUGGGAACGGAGGGAGUAAUUAUUAAGGAGAUCAGUGUACUGAGCUUUAGGGCUGUGUUUGUUCCUUGAUUUUAAAGUUCAAUAAACGGUGUGAAUUGUCAGUAAGCAAUAGUGGAAGACCAUUUCUUUUAAGUGCUGAAUAAUUGAUUCCAGAAUUUCUCUGGUUUGUGUAAUAACCUGUCUCAGUAUUUUUACCUCUCGGGUGGAUGUUCUCCUGAUAUCCAAAGUGAAUUCCUUUCACUUUAAAAAAGAUGAACUUUUACUCUGUUUGCACCAAAGUUUACAAAGAUGGAUGAUAUAACACUAUAACUUGUUGCAUAUAAAUACAGAAAUUCAACAAAUUUCUCAUCAUUUUGUAACUGGAAAUGUACAUUUCGCUUGUUUGAUGGACCCAUAUGUUUGUAUCCAAAAAAUACGCGAGAGAAGUGUCUGCAGUUUUUAUUCCACGGACAAAAAAUAUUUCAAACAUUUUACAAAUUUCUAGUUUCUUACUAGAGUAAUAACUUGUUUUUUUCUUCAUCCAAACAAAUUAACUUUCAUGAUUAAAGUUUUUUUAAAGGGGCACCUUCCCACGGUAAGGCAAAUGUAGUCUCGCACAAAACCCAAACUUCUCCGGAUAAACUAUGCGAUGCAGUCACUAUGCGAUGCAACAAUCUAGAACCAUCUGUCAGCAUCCCGGAAAAAAACUAGAAGAAUUAAAAGAGCAGGGUUUUAGGAUUAUAUUUUGAGAACAAUUUCCUUUAGUACUUUUUUUUGCACCACAAGACUUGCCCUUUUUUUUAGACAAACUUGCGUUUUCUUAGAACUUCGUGGCUGACUGGCAUGUUGGUAAGGAGAGUGCCUCUGUAGGGCGUUAAGCGCUAAACUUGGGGCGCCGCUAUACGAGUCCUUCUAAUUGGCGCCUUUAGCACCGGCCGGGAGAAGUUUCAAAAGAAAAAAAAAACACCGGUCGGGAGAUGUCGCGCUCAUGCGCCAGCUUAGCGGGCCGCGGCCCAUAGCGCUCUCCCGGUUUGCUCGCUUCGUUCCACUCACUGGGCCACCGACAAUUGACAGCGAGGAGUUGACUAGUGAAGUGGCACCCAACAUUGAAUUUCGGACAACAUGACUUAGAAAAAAAGAGUUACAAAUUUUGCAAAAAGAUCACGAUUGAAAAAGAUUCAUCGAUUUUAAAAACAGUUCGUCAAAUUUGGAAAAAAGAUCAUCCGUUUGGGGAAAAAAGUUCAGCAAUUUUAUGAAGUUCACCGAUUUUGAAGAAAGUUCAAAAUUCUUGAAAGAAAAUGUGUAAAUGUUGAACAAAAGUUCAAAUUUUUGGAAUAAAAGCAUUGAUUUAUAAGAAAUCAUUAUGAAGAAAAAUUCCUCAAUUUGGAAAAAAGUUCACAGGUUUUAAAAAAGUUCAUCAAUUUUGAAAAAUAAAUCAUGGAGAAAACACGACCAAAAAACCAUAAAAAGUUCGUGCAAAAGAAUUUGAAAAAGAAAUCAAGAAUAUUGGAAUGGAAAGAGAAAGCAGAGCAAAAAAAAGAAAAUAAGGAAAAAAACGACCAAAAACCUAGCUAAAAAUGGAAGGGGAAAAACGCACAAAAACCUUCUAUUUUUUCUUCUUAUUUUAUUUCGCCAUUUUUUCUUUUCUGAUUUCUUCUUUUUAUUUUAUUAAUAUUGAAAAUUUUAUAAAUAUAUACAAUACAAAAAUUGGCUUUACAUAAAAAAUACAAAAAAAAAA
rnacentral:lncRNA from 1 species